rnacentral:rRNA from 1 species
UACGUAGGUGGCAAGCGUUGUUCGGAAUUAUUGGGCGUAAAGGGCGCGUAGGCGGUUUGUUAAGUCGGUUGUGAAAGCCCGGGGCUCAACCCCGGAGGGUCGACCGAUACUGGCAGGCUAGAGUACAGAAGAGGUAGCUGGAAUUCCCGGUGUAGCGGUGAAAUUCGUAGAUAUGGGGAGGAACACCGGUGGCGAAGGCGGCCACCUGGACGGUAACUGACGCUGAGGCACGAAAGCGUGGGGAGCAAACAGG